rnacentral:tRNA from 1 species
ACAUGAGUGCCAGAAUAAAUGGGUUGGUUUUAAGCGUCAAAUAUGGGUUGAUUCCCCUUAUGUG